UUAGCUUAUUGCAGUGAUUAAUGAAACACAGAACGUCUGGGUUUCAGCAGUGGGAUUGGAUUUCUGAUCUGGAAUCGCAAGUUGAUUGUUCUCAAGUUGCUGACAACAUCUCCCCUGAUCACGGCCGGGAAACUGUGCCCGGGUGUUUUGAAGCAAAUCCCAGGUAUCCAGGCACCUGGGAACCUUAGCUCCUUCAGAGUGCACUUCUGAAAGCAAACCGAAUCAGCGUAGUGCUGGGUAUGGAAGGCCCACCUGAGGAUUGUUACCAACAGCAGAAAAGGAGAACUGGGAGGGAAGAUGGAAGAGCCAGAAGUUGCACCGUGCUGAAUCCUGUGCAUAAGGUUGGUGAGGACACCCUGGAAUGUGUUUGCAAGCCUGCCUUUCUGUAGGAUGGCACUCAGCAGCAGCAGUCACCGUAUUUUUUUUAAAAA